rnacentral:rRNA from 1 species
GAUGAACGCUGGCGGCGUGCCUAAUACAUGCAAGUCGAGCGAACAGACGAGGAGCUUGCUCCUCUGACGUUAGCGGCGGACGGGUGAGUAACACGUGGAUAACCUACCUAUAAGACUGGGAUAACUUCGGGAAACCGGAGCUAAUACCGGAUAAUAUAUUGAACCGCAUGGUUCAAUAGUGAAAGACGGUUUUGCUGUCACUUAUAGAUGGAUCCGCGCCGCAUUAGCUAGUUGGUAAGGUAACGGCUUACCAAGGCAACGAUGCGUAGCCGACCUGAGAGGGUGAUCGGCCACACUGGAACUGAGACACGGUCCAGACUCCUACGGGAGGCAGCAGUAGGGAAUCUUCCGCAAUGGGCGAAAGCUUGACGGAGCAACGCCGCGUGAGUGAUGAAGGUCUUCGGAUCGUAAAACUCUGUUAUUAGGCAAGAACAAAUGUGUAAGUAACUAUGCACGUCUUGACGGUACCUAAUCAGAAAGCCACGGCUAACUACGUG